GGUUCAGUGGUGUAGCGGUUUAUCACACUUCGCUCACAUUAAUUGAACAUGUACCGAAGAGGUCCCGAGUUCGAACCUCGGCUGAAUCA